CCUACGGGUGGCAGCAGUGAGGAAUAUUGGUCAAUGGACGAGAGUCUGAACCAGCCAAGUAGCGUGAAGGAGGACUGCCCUAUGGAUUGUAAACCUCUUUUAUAAAGGAAUAAAACGUGGCACGUGUGCCUGGUUGCAUGUACUUUAUGAAUAAGCAUCGGCUAACUCCGUGCCAGCAGCCGCGGUAAUACGGAGGAUCCGAGCGUUAUCCGGAUUUAUUGGGUUUAAAGGGAGCGUAGAUGGGUUGUUAAGUCAGUUGUGAAAGUUUGGGGCUCAACCGCAAAAUUGCAAUUGAUACUGGCAGUCUCGAGUACAGGUGAGGUAGGCGGAAUGCGUGGUGUAGCGGUGAAAUGCUUAGAUAUCGCGAAGAACCCCGAUUGCGAAGGCAGCAUAC
rnacentral:rRNA from 1 species